rnacentral:tRNA from 1 species
CUAGAGAACGCUGCUGCAACACUCACACCUAAUCGGUUGUUUCAAGACCGGGCUUGUGGCUCAGUUGGUUAGAGCACACGCUUGAUAAAGCGAUGGGGUCGGAAGUUCAAGUCUUCCCAGGCCCACCAGACUUUGGUUUGGUCGGCGCUGAGCUGUGCUAGUUGGGUUCAUUAAGGGUUGAGAACCAAGCGGCGCAAGGCGCGAGACGCCGCCGUGUGCUAAUGCACACAAGGUGUCGAGCAACGCAGCGAUGCGCCGGUUAUCAACCCUUAAUGGGGGAUUAGCUCAGCUGGGAGAGCACCUGCUUUGCAAGCAGGGGGUCGUCGGUUCGAUCCCGUCAUCCUCCACCAGACACCCGUGGUCAGGAUCGCGGGGUCGUAACAACAAGUAGUACCUAUCAGUGUGAAACGUAAGCAGUGAGGUUGUUGACCUUAGUGCUUACGCGUUAUGCGUAACGGCCGUUCUUUAACAAUUUGGAAGAAGGUGGGCUUUUUAGAGAUGAAAAGCCCGAACAUGGGUUGAAAUUGUAUCGACCCUGUCAUCUGGAAUAUUGGAUCCUGCGAGGGGUUUGAUGCCGAGCUGGGUGAUGGGGUAGCAAACACACCUGUAAUGCGAAGACUGAGCGCGAGAGCCAAUUUGGUUUGAGUGGCAGUCCUCAAAAUUAUAG